UGAAAUUCCUCCUAGUUUCAGGUGAAAUAGGCAGCCAUCUGACUGUACUACCCAAAGUCUGCCCAAAUGAGGAUUUCCCUUCACCACUCUUUGAAGGCCACUCCUAGUGGAUUUUACACCCUGAAAACCCCUCCAUAAACUGGAGACUGAAAUCGAAGAAAUGGCAUUUGCUGUGUUAAUAGUUGCAUACCUGUAGCCAGUGGCUGUACUGAUUUUCUCAGUAAAUUACCACAUCUGGAACCAAAGCUACAGUUGUCAUCCUCACCUGAUUAAGUAGGUGAUAAUGUACAGUUAUUCUCCAGACUUAUCUGAGUUUUGUACAGGCCCAACAAGCUAAAUAAAUG
rnacentral:lncRNA from 10 species